rnacentral:rRNA from 1 species
GCGUUCCGUAAGGAACGUCGGGGGACAGUGGCGAACGGGUGCGUAACACGUGAGAAACCUGCCCCAAAGACCGGGAUAGCCCGGGGAAACCCGGAUUAAUACCGGAUACCCUCGAGGGACCGCAUGGCCCCGCGAGGAAACGGUCCGCCGCUUUGGGAUGGUCUCGCGGCCUAUCAGCUUGUUGGUGAGGUAACGGCUCACCAAGGCAGCGACGGGUAGCUGGUCUGAGAGGACGAUCAGCCACACUGGGACUGAGACACGGCCCAGACUCCUACGGGAGGCAGCAGCAGGGAAUAUUGCACAAUGGGCGAAAGCCUGAUGCAGCGACGCCGCGUGCGGGAUGAAGGCCUUCGGGUUGUAAACCGCUUUCAGGAGGGACGAAAAUGACGGUACCUCCAGAAGAAGGCCCGGCCAACUACGUGCCAGCAGCCGCGGUAAUACGUAGGGGCCAAACGUUGUCCGGAUUUAUUGGGCGUAAAGCGCGCGUAGGCGGCUUGGUAAGUCGGAUGUGAAAGCCCAGGGCUUAACCUUGGAAUUGCAUUCGAUACUGCCUGGCUAGAGUAUGGUAGAGGGAAGUGGAAUUUCCGGUGUAGCGGUGAAAUGCGUAGAUAUCGGAAGGAACACCAGUGGCGAAGGCGACUUCCUGGGCCAAUACUGACGCUGAGGUGCG